rnacentral:lncRNA from 1 species
CGCGUCGCCAGCCGCCGGUCGCCACCGUCCUACCGCACGUCACGCCAGCCAUCACCUUAGUGGACUCCCUGUGCUCCUCGUCGACCGAGCCACCACGCCAUCCACGAGGACGUCCACUCCGGCACGCCACUGGCCGGAAGUCCGACCGCCAUCAUCACCUCCGACCUCCGCCUGCCCCUCCCAUCGCCUAUAAAAGGGGCCGAGGCCACCCGCCCCUACCACCACCUCGCCUGGCCUCCUAGCUCGCCCCCCCUUCUCCACCGACCCCGUGCGCCGCCACCAGAGCUCCGCUCGCCGCCCUUUUUUCCCACGCCGGCCCCCUCGCUUCCCAUCGCCGAAUCCCCAAGGUGAGGGUCAAAAUGGAGUCCCCUCGGUCUCCUCUACCUCCCCCGCCGCUUGGUCUCACCGCCGGCAAGCUUGACCGGCCGGCCCACCACCGGGUUGCCUCCUACCUCCCUGUACCCGUGCUCCAGGAAGAAGAAGGGGGAGAAUCCCCUUCAAUUUCGAUCUAACCCCCUCCUUUCCUCUAAUUACAAACCAGCCCUCCUACCUCUCUCAAAGAAGUUUCGUGAAUACACCCUUCCACCUUCCAGAAAUAAUUACAAAUAGGUCCCUGGUUCUCACAAUUUAGUCCUAAAACCUCAUUUUAAGCCCCUAACACUCCUUUAACUCAUCAUUUCAUGCGCCAAACUUUCUCCAAUUGAUCCCAAAUUCGACCACGCCUCCUCCCAUAUACUUCCACCAAGGCAUACCCAAAUUUCAUGAAAAUACUCACCCCAC